UUAGUAAAGCACAUGCUUGCAUUAAACGCGGUCCAGUUUUGUUCAUGACAGACCUUCACACGCCCGGCUCCCUUUAUAACUACAGUCAGUGUCAAUGGACUGGGUUUUACAUCGUAAAGAAGCUAUUUUUCAACUGCAAGCAAAUACAUUUGGUCUUCUGAUUGUUUUUGUGUAAUUUAGACUCGUGAUGAAAAAGUUUGUAACUUCUGUUUUGACGCUUAUUAGUGUGGCUAAAACAAGAAUGCUCAUAUCGCUGAACUUAAAUGCGGCUAGCACCGAUCAUAGGAUUCGGUUUCCUUUUCUGUGUGAUUAGUUGAAAAAACAAUAAUUCGACUAAAUUAAAAGAAAAAGCCUUUUGAUGUCGAGGGUAGCCGUCGCUGGAACGACCGAACGUUAGCAGACGCGUAGCAGUCGUUUAUAACGGGACCUUUCAAGGCUCCCAGGGGUUGUCCCUCGUCAGAAAGAUGCCGCUAUGCCUCGGGUUUUUCGUGUCGCAUGCUUCGCGCCUCUUAUGUCCUACAACAACCAGAUUCAGCCCUCGCCCUUGUCGCAGCCCCGAAACUUUCACACAUCUGCUCUCACGAAGAACACCGUCCAAACAUCGACCAAUGGUUCAAUCGCCAACGAAACGGCAGCCAUUACCAGCAAGCAGUUCGCUAGUGGCUUCACUACGACUGAUACCAGCAGCGAUAGCGGCGCUACCAGCCCGAUCCCAAAGGAACAUGCAGCGAGCCAAGCCCUCACAGCGGAUGCCACACAGUCGUUCAUCAAGAGAUCUCCAACACCCAUCCAUCGAACCAUUGAGAUACCGGUUGCGACAACUAGAUUGUAUACUCACCAGCAGCAGUUCCAGCAGACCAGACCCCCAGCAGUGACAGAAGCAACAAUUGUCAUUCCACAAGUCGCCCCUACUGACAGAAUUGCUACUGAAUUUGCCGCAGAAGGUCCGCAGCCGCGAACCUGUGCCAAUGAAAAAACGCCGAAUACGAACAGAGCUUUAUCUCUGUCGUCCGCAACACGCAUUCGGGGAUCGAUCGAGGAGGACGGCGAAAGUGGCUCCAAUCGAAACGAGAAUUGUCUAUCCAGAAAUCCUCUAGGGAAAGUUGGGAUGGUGUCUUCUAGGCAUAUCAGACGACCUGUGCUACGGGGAAAUACCGAAGCCGCGACUGAAGUCGACAAAGUUACGGAAGUUGGAGCAGCAAAUGAGAAUAGCUCUAUUUUAAAUACUGGGGAAGCGACAGCCUCUCGAGGUACGAGUGUUAGUACAAGUUUAGAAGAAACCUUAGGCGGGGCACGAGUGGUUGGUGCCAACAGUGAGCAGACGAUAAGUGCUAACGACAAGGGUAGCGGAGCACCUCUUUCAGUCAAGGCGUUACCGGUAAUUGCUGCGGCGCCACGAAGAGUUGGACCAAUAUUUCCGGAGACAAUAAAUGUAGCUCGAACUAAAACAGAUACACUCGUUGUUGGCAUACCCGGCUUAGAGUACUUGGCCUCCAUCGAUCAACUCAACGUUAAAAAUAAGAUUCUAAUAUUAAAAUCAAUUGCCGGAUGUGAGACGGCACACGGAGGUUUUGCGGUCAGGAACCUCCUCGGUCAGAGGGUUUUCGGAGUUGAGGAAAACACUGACUGUUUUAUUUCAACUUGCUUAUGUACUUUUCCGAAACAUCCAUUGAAUCUGACCGUGCGCGAUUCACAUCGUCGGGAAGUGCUUCGCCUCUCCCGACCAGAUCGUGGCGUUUGUUGCUGCUUUCCGUGUUGUCUUCAGGUGGUAAACGUAAUUUCUCCUCUUUGGGGAGAGCUGGGUUCUGUCCACCACGAAUGGUCUCUCAGCAAUCCGCACUUAGCAAUUAAGAAUUCAGAGGGUAAAACGCAAUUUCGUAUUGUAGGGCCAGUUUGUACAUGUAGCAAGUGCCAAAAAGAAGAUUUUAUUAUCUUUCCGGUAACCUCUGAAGAAACCGGGCAACAGGUAGGCCGAAUUAGCUGUCCAUUUCCUCGUCGCCUGACGCCUGACGCUGAUCAGGGCAGUCAACAGCAAUCCUACUCCCAUGAUCUGGUGGAAGAUCCGGCCGGAACGAAGAAUGCACACCAGCAAACUAAAAUAAAAGAAAUGGAACCGGCAUCGGCUGCUUUCGAGGAAGGUUACAGCGUAUCCUUCAGUAAGGAACUGCCUGUGUCCAUGAAAGCGGUUCUUCUCGCUGCAGUAUUUCUAAUAGACUUCUUAUACAACGAUCUAAAGGCGACCAAAGUGAAGAACAAGUAGAAAAGGUUAAAUGGCCAUAAGUCACCGUUGGGACUUCAUUACAUUUAGUCACCUCCCUUUCUUUGUUUGGAUUAGCACCAACAAUCGCCAUGUUGCUGUGAUACUCUCAGCCUAUUUUGCAGUGAACUAAGGGGCAGCUGUCUACGGCAGGCCUGGG